ACGUAUAUAGGAAAUGGGUAUUAUAAUAUUAUGUCCAUUGUCAUCCCAAGGCGUUGGAAUAUUAAUCUUGUUCGUCAGUCACAUCUCUGCCGUAUAAGAAGUACAUAUCGAUCGCAGCAAGACACAACUUUAUUAUCUCCUCUUUUAUUUUUAGUUCUUAACUUCUAAUUCCUGCUAAUUUUCACGAAAAACCAUUGUAUUUUCACUAAAGAUCUAAAUUUCCUUUUCUUGAAGUUUCAACGAUCUUUUUCCUUGAAGUUUCAACCUCAUCCUCCAACAGAUCCAUCAUCAGAUUCAUCAAGCAUGGUGACAUUCAAAGUCGCUUGAUUUGUCGCUCAACGACAAGUUGUUACUCUGUUCGCUAAAGUUGUUAGAGCUCCACCUCUUCCUCUUCCUCCUCUGAUAGAAGAGGGUCCAUUUCUUGUGGCAUCUUCUUCUAACCUACGCAGCAAUAUUUUUCUCGUCUAAGAAUCAGAUAAGGAGUAUUCUAGGCUCUUCUGCUCUUCAGAUUGACACAAAAACUUCACUAGGGCGAACCAUCACACCGACCUCCUCCUCUACCUUUUAUGCCUGGACAAUAAAUACUCAUAAACCUUCAACUGUUGGAAGUGAAUCUUGGAGUACAUGGAGCCACUGACCUGUUGAACAACAUUUAUA
rnacentral:lncRNA from 1 species